GUUCAAACUGCUCUUCCUGACUUUGCUGCUUAAGAUGUCGUCUGCUGAAAUCACAGCUUCUCUUCAUCACGUGAUUCCCGGUGUGGCUGAAGAGUGCCAUUCCUGGCAGAUCCACUUACCUGACUCUGUCAAGCUGGCCCAUUCUUGCUGGAAAUCGCUGGCCAAGAACUCUCCUAUCACACUUACCUACCUGUCCUGUCCUCCAACAGUUCAAACCCCUCAGGAAGACCAGACCGUGGCUUCUCUUGGUGCCUCCUUGUAACUUCUUCCAAGAGCAACUUGGGGUUCAGAAUUUUGUCCAAGGAUACUUUGGUAUGAAAACUAGAGCAACAAGGGAUCGAACCACCAACCUCCCAAUUAGCAGAUGACCUGCUCUACCUCCUGAGCCACAGCCACUCUGGUAGGGACUACAUAGAUUCCUUUUUUUAAAACAAACAGCGCAAUGCUGCAGAAGGAGACAACUGUGAAAAGGAGAUUGGAUAAAUGUAAUCAGGCUGAUGUGGUUCAGGCAUCUGACUAGGAUGCCUCUUGGGCACCUUCAGGUACAUCCUACCAUGGGGGAAGACCCAGAACAUGCUGGAUAGAUCAUGUCUCUCAGAUGGCCUGAGAAUACUGAGCUGGGAGGAGAUGGCUAGAGAGAGGGAAGUCUGGACUUUUCUUCUUAGACUGCUGCCUUUGCAACCCGGCCCAUAAAAAGCUGCAG